rnacentral:lncRNA from 1 species
GUAUGUUCGUUAUUGAUUUUCCAUAUUUUAUUUUAUCAACAUAUCUACUCUUGUAUUUUCAUUCCUAGCAAUUGUAAUGAUAUACUAGUCAAACUCCAAUAUGACAUAUAAACAUUCUGUAGAUUAUAGGCCAAAGGCUAAGUCUCACUUCUUGUUACAACUCUUUUGUGCAUAUAAUUUUUGGAUAUUUGCACAAAAACACAUUUUUAUAUAACUUCAAGGUUAUUGAAAGUAGCAGCUUUCUCCUUAUUAUCAUUUUUUUUUGUUGGGUUUUCUUACAUGGUUCCUCAAUGCUGACAAAUUAUUAUUAACUUGAGAGUUUUUUGUUGUCAUGAGUCAGUCCCUUCAAUACUCAUGCAAAUGCCCCAAAAAAAAAAAAAAAUCCAUAAAUAUUUUUAUGCUUCAUCUGCUCUUAGAUUGUAAAAUUUCUGAAUACUACUUUAUUUUCCAUAAAAUCUGGGAUAUAUACACUAUAUAUGUUCAACUCUAUUGACCUGAAUUGGCAUUAAUGAGGAUGACAGCAAUGAGUUAUACUAUCUACAAGAACUAGUUCUCAACACUACCUGUUAAUUAAUUUAAAAUAACCUUAAAAGGAAAGAGAACAAAAAAAAAAGUUAAAAUGAGGUGCAAAUAUAGUAAUGCUGUUUAUGAUCCGAAAAAACUGGAACAUAGAUUGUUAUUGAUUGUAGACAGAAACCUCCUCAUAAUCCUUUAAAUUUUCUAAGAACUUUAAUGUACCUGAGGUUUUCAUAUCACUGAAUUUAUGCUACUGAUGAUAGCACUGGAAAGCUAUCUAGUUUUUGAGCUUUUUGGAGCCUUCUUUUCUAGUAAUGCUGUUUAUGAUCCGAAAAUACUGGAACAUAGAUCGUUAUUGAUUGUAGACAGAAACCUCCUCAUAAGCCUUUAAAUUUUCUAAGAACUUUAAUGUACCUGAGGUUUUCAUAUCACUGAAUUUAUGCUAUUGAUGAUAGCACUGGAAAGCUAUCUAGUUUUUGAGCUUUUUGGAGCGUUCUUUUCUAAUUUAGAUAUUGAUGGACAUUGUUAUAAUAAUUUACGACUUACUAUACAUGCAAAAUCAUGGCAAUAACUUAUACUGUUAUCUGUUAAUUUGAUUUAUUUAUGAGCUAAAGUGGAUAACUAUGAAUGUUACAGAAGAUAUUUUGAGAGCAUCUCACUGAAAUAAUUACUUGACUGCCCUGUAUUUUGAAAUUGAUUAAUUAUAAGUUGACCGAUGACAAUUGAUAAGACACGUGAGUUUUGAUAUUGGAAAGCGAAACUUUUAAAUUGCCAGUAAAAUUCAUUUUUGAGAACAAACAAAUUGGUUAUUGCAUGUCCUUCGAGUUUUCCAAGCUGGCUGAAAUACUUUUGCUAUGUUUUUUUAAUUUUUCUGGUCAAUGGUGUCCGAAGUUUGUAUGUUUUCCCACAUUCUUAUUACACACAAAACUAUUAUUUGCAGGAACAGUUGAUUGCUUAUACUUUUUUUUUUUUGGGUUGUUGUGUGUGUGUAGCACGUUUAAUCAUCCCUAUGUGUGAAAGUAAUUUUGGUUAAUAUGUUACUUUGCUAAUAUAUCAGAAAUUGUCCAGAAGAGGCCUACAUUGUUAUAACUUUUCAAGUUUCCUGAAUUGUCAAGUCUUAAGGGUUUACACCCAUCUUUGCAU